CGGAGAGACAGUUCCAAAUAUUCGCGAAAAGGGAGAUUGCGAAAGACGCCGUCUACCCACAGAAGGUUGGGACGCCGAGGUUAGUCCCAUCUCACCCCAAGUAAAACCAGUCUAACAGAAGUACUGCAGGACUUCCCUGGUGGCGCAGUGGUUGGGAAUCUGCCUACCAAUGCAGGGGACACGGGUUCGAGCCCUGGUCUGGGAGAUCCCACAUGCUGCGGAGCAACUGAGCCCGUGCGCCACAACUACUGAGCCUGCGCUCUAGAGCCCACGAGCCAAAACUAGUGAGCCCGCACGCUGCAACUACUGAAGCCUGCACGCCUAGAGCCCAUGCUCUGCAACAAGAGAAGCCACUGCAAUGAGAAGCCUGCACACCACAAUGAAGGGUAGCCCCUGCUCACCGCAACUAGAGAAAGCCCGCGCACAGCAAUGAAGACCCAACACAGCCAAAAAUAAAAAAAAUAAAAAGUAUUGCAAGGUGACCUAUACUACUAGUGGUGUAUUAAACUUGGUUAUUAUUUCCAGCUGACAGAAAUUAGUUUUAUUGAAGGAUAAAACAAUUCCUUGGUGUAUUGCAGUAAUAAGACUUUACAUAUAAAAAUACAACAGAUUAAUGAAUUUUAGAUUCAGACAUCAAAAUCUUUAAAUUUUUAUAACACUUUAAUAACAGACAACAUUUUUUGAGUGCUUAUUAUUGCCAGGUGCCCUUCAAAGCAUUUAUUUGCAUUUAAGCUCAUCUUUUAGAUAAAGAAACAGAUCCUUAGAGACAUUAAGUAAUUUGCUAAAGGCCAUACUUUUAGGAACUAAAAGUUUCAGUUGGGUCUGAAACGUAGGUACAUUCCAAAGCACAUUAAAUACUAUACCAUACUUCUGUUUUUAUGUAAUAGGCAGUUGAAAAUAUGACCAUUCUUUUAAUAGAGAAGAAAAAAAGGCCCUGCCGCAAAAAGGGCAACAAUAUAGGCAAAUAUAAAUUUGGGAUUCCUAAGCUAAAAUUUACUGCCUCUGUCUUUUUCAAUUCCACAGUGUACUUUCUUGGAGUUUGAACUAUAUUCUCUACCUCUUUUUGUUUAGCUCAAGAAAAAGCAUGUGAUUUCUUCUGGUACUGCUGCUGCUACCAGUAUCUACCAGUAAUCUGAAGAAACAACUGCACUUCGAUGGAGAGGAAAAUCAUCU